rnacentral:rRNA from 1 species
AAGUCGAACGGCAGCACGGGGCAACCUGGUGGCGAGUGGCGAACGGGUGAGUAAUACAUCGGAACGUGCCCAAUCGUGGGGGAUAACGUAGCGAAAGUUACGCUAAUACCGCAUACGAUCUACGGAUGAAAGCGGGGGAUCGCAAGACCUCGCGCGAAUGGAGCGGCCGAUGUCAGAUUAGGUAGUUGGUGGGGUAAAGGCUCACCAAGCCAACGAUCUGUAGCUGGUCUGAGAGGACGACCAGCCACACUGGAACUGAGACACGGUCCAGACUCCUACGGGAGGCAGCAGUGGGGAAUUUUGGACAAUGGGCGCAAGCCUGAUCCAGCCAUUCCGCGUGCAGGAUGAAGGCCUUCGGGUUGUAAACUGCUUUUGUACGGAACGAAACGGCGAGCUCUAAUACAGUUUGCUAAUGACGGUACCGUAAGAAUAAGCACCGGCUAACUACGUG